rnacentral:rRNA from 1 species
UACGUAGGGGGCAAGCGUUGUCCGGAAUCAUUGGGCGUAAAGCGCGUGUAGGCGGCCCGGUAAGUCCGCUGUGAAAGUCCAGGGCUCAACCCUGGAAUGCCGGUGGAUACUGUCGGGCUCGAGUCCGGAAGAGGCGAGUGGAAUUCCUGGUGUAGCGGUGAAAUGCGCAGAUAUCAGGAAGAACACCCGUGGCGAAGGCGGCUCUCUGGGACGGUACUGACGCUGAGACGCGAAAAGCGUGGGGGAGCGAACAGG